GCAAAUAAAAUACCACAAUGAGAUUCCACCUAACUCCAGUGAGACUGACCUACGUUCAGAAACCGAUAAAACUCAAUUGUUGGUGAGGAUGUGGGGGAGGGAGGAGCUGCCCUAAUCCACUGUUGGUUGGAAUGUGAACUGGUGCAACGGUGAUGGAAGACAGCUAUGGAGAUUCCUCAGACAACUGAAACUAGAUGUACUAUAUGACCCAUCCAUCCCUCUGCUGGGAAAACAGCCAAACGAAAUGAAAUCUGCAGAUGAGAGAAAUCAUGCUGACCACGUUGAUUAUACCCUGCCCACUGGCAACAGAACAACAGUGAGCCCUGGGCAGGCAGGGCCCAUAUGAUGCCCAGUGGACUGUCUGCAGCUCAGUACUGCUAAUGCCCAACUCUGAUCCUCUUUGCACGAAAUGGUUCUCCUUUUGCCCAGAGGAAAAGCAGAACUCCACCUAAAAGCUAUCUGUGAGCUGAC